CAAACACGACUCAGCCCAGGGCAAGCUGUUGAGAAGCCAUGGAGAUGUUCCGCCUCAUUUCAACAAUUAGUGGAUUAUCCUUAUGCCAUUUGAUUAUCUUUGUUAUAGCCUUGUGCGCUUUACUGAAGCCUAAUUCCCGCUGAUUUCAAUGGCAAAUAAGAGCACUCCCAGAUUUGGAUUUGCCAGCUGAAAUGUGAAGGUGACAUGGAGCAGAGGGGUGAUGAACAGCCCAACAAACCAGGGGUGAAGGCAGCAUCUUUCCCUGCAUGGCCCUUCCCAUAACAGGCUUCUGGGAGGAACACAAAGGCACUUCCAGAGAGAUUCCUGCUUUGCAGAGGAGACUUCUGAGCUGCUCAGAACAAGAGAAUUCUGGCAGAGGCAGAUCGUGCAAACCUCGAAUAUCUCCUAAAUUCUGUAGCUUCUACUCCAUCCCAGCAGGGGAGAGAUCAAAAUCUGGGUAUGCCCACACAGACUUUUGCCCUCACAGCCACAUUUUUUACAAGUGAUGGAGUACAUAUCAUUGCAUGGUGUUGCUGCUCAUGGGCUUCACAGGUAGGUUUUUAAAGUUAUUUUUGUGUUAGAAAUAACAACA
rnacentral:lncRNA from 1 species